UGAAGCACCAAAUACAAAGCCUGGUCUGUGGUAAGCAUUUCACUUCUCCUCCCCUUGCUCUCUGAGAGAUCCCUUAACAAAGCCAGUGCAUUACAUUUUAUGUAGCAAGCCUUGUAGUAUGAGCACCUAAUCUGUCGACUUCAUACUUUUGAUUCCACAGAGCAACAAGAAGGCCGAGGUCCUUACCCCCAUGAUCAAUAGCGUAUUAUUAGAGGGCUGCAAUAGCACGACGUAUGUGCAGGAUGCAUUCCAGCUACUACUGCCCAUUCUGCAGGUUUCACAUAUCCAGGCCAGUUGCUCGAAAGCACGGCCGUGACCUUGCCAGACUCCAUCUAGUUAAAGGAAAUGGCAGGCCAUGCUGCUUCACUGUAUACCAGUUGAGGGGAUGUUUUCUACGCAUCUGGCCACAGACCCCAUUUGAGGACACUACAAGCAAUUUUGCACAGACAGUAUUGAAAAUGCAAAUUUAAAGAGAGUUAUUAUUUCUCUUAAUGUAUAUGGUUGUUUUUACAAAUAAUUGUGUUUUCUUUAUGUUAAUUUAAACUUGCAUGGCUUACAUUGAAAAUUUCCUUUCAUCUGAAAUUCGUUCAUGAAUAUUCAUAUCCAUUUUCCUGGUCAAGCAUGCUAUUAUUAGAAAUUUCGUGGGCACACCUUAGCUUUUUUUUUUAAUUCUUUAAAUUUCUACCCUUAAAUGUACCAUUCUUAUAGUAUUAUUUUAAAUUAAUUCUCAUACUGAACUUUUUAUUACGUAAAUGUCAUGGGGAAAAAUAACACUACAUAAAACUUUACCUCUUAUAGUGAAAAAAAAGGAGCCUAAAUAUCUCUUUGUAGUUAUUCAUUCUUGCAAUAAGCAUUUAUUGAGCACCUACUGAGUGCUCACAAUAAAGGAACUUGAUCUCACCCCAGUAGAAACAGAUAUGCUGAAAGAGGGUUCAUAAAAAUUCUUAAAAUGCUUUAAAAAAUACUAAUAAAUGUCCUAAACCUUAAAAAA